GUGCUCACUUCGGCAGCACAUAUACUAAAACUGGAACUAUCGGAGGAGAUGAGCAUGGCCCCUGCGCAAAGAAGACAUGCAAAUUUGUGGAGUGUUCCACAUUUUU